CCCCCCCCCUACAUCAUUGUACAACUGGCAGUGAAGUCGAUUCGACAUUAAGUGGGACCGUCCUUUGUUCCCUGCACAGUACACGGCUCCGUGAGUCAAAAGACGCUCAUAUGAUGUCUGCUGAACUACCAACAAAGCAAGAAACAACACAAUCGACCCCUUAUUCAAGAUUUCGUGUAAACAAAAUAUUGGCCCUUAUUUAAACGUUAAAGCGUCUAUCGCACGGAAUGCCACUUCUUUGAUUUAUCGUCCUAGUAAUGACGAUAGAUGUACUGUCAUUAAAAAAUCACGUCAGACCACAAUUUUACCACAUAUCUCAGCUCUCUCCAACUGAAUUUGUGAGAUGGACGGUUAUCGUAUACCUCCCAGAUGUACAUGAUAUGUUACAUUGUCUCAGUGAAAAUGUUAAGUGGCUUACCUUAGGUCAUGGCCGCGCUGGAUAAGUGUCACCUCGCCCCAGGCGUCUUUCAAAGUGACCUGUGGUUUAUAUGUGGAAGGUUUCUUUGUGAUCACGGUGAGGAACCGAUUUAUCUAAGAUUAUUAUAUGUGGCUCUUAUGCCAUACAGCAUGCUGUGCAGUUUUCUAGAGAUCUGUGGUUGGAGAAUAGCUGAAGUUACAGAAACGAUCACUACAGUCAGAGAAAACUCUAUGUUAGGAUUUAUAAGAAUCAGAGGUGGUUAUGCGACAUGUGUUGACAGGACUAUUUUAUUCCCCUUCGAGGGGGAACAAGAAGCUUUAUGUCUAACAUAAUAACACCUUGAAGAGAAAAAAAAACACAACAGUUUCAUAUAUCCCAAGACUUAUUUACAGUUGGGACAAAAAAGCUGUUAACCUGGCAGCCCCAGUAUCUUUCAUAACAUGUUAUAUUUCAAACUUCAGUUGUUAAAAUACCUACGUAACAAUUCUAAACUGAUAUAUACAUAUAUGAUACUGACUUUCAAUGUUCCUUGGCAUCGCUCUGUUUAUAUUCUACAUGCGUGGUCACAAAUCCGAAGUAUUCAAGUCCUAAUUUUAUUUUUAUUAAUUGUUUUGUAUUAUGCAUAGUAUAUUACGGUAUGUUAUACUUCUAACUGUUAUUGCAAAUAAAGUUUUGUCUCUAGUU